GAUGAACGCUGGCGGCGUGCCUAAUACAUGCAAGUCGUACGGUAAGGCCCUUUCGUGGGUACUCGAGUGGUGAACGGGUGAGUAACACGUGAGUAACCUGCCCCCACCUUUGGGAUUAGGCUAGGUAACUGGUGCCAAUACUGGUUAUGUGUCCUAGCUUCAUCGUCGGGGUUCGAUAGUUCCGGCGGUUGUGGAUGGACUCGCUGGCUAUCAGCUUGUUGGAGGGGUUGUGGCUUACCAAGGCGGCUACGGGUAGCCGGCCUGUGUGGGUGACCUGCCACAUUGGGACUGAGGGACGGCACAGACAGCGACGGGAGGCAGAAGUGCGGAAUAUUGCAGAAUGGGCGCAAGGCUGAUGCAGCAGGGCCGCGUGCGGGAUGACGGCGUUCGGGUUGUAAACCGCAUUCAGAAGGGACGAAGCAUUUUGUGACGGUACCUGCAGAAGAAGCACCGGCUAACUACGUG
rnacentral:rRNA from 1 species